rnacentral:misc_RNA from 1 species
GAAAGUGAAACUAUAUUAUUGUAUAAUGUCAAAAAUGAAUGAAUACAGUUCCAUUUCAAUGAACAAGCCACACUUCCAGACAAGUUGAUACGAAGAACAGUGUGCUCUCAUUGUGAUUAAUAUGACAUAUUCAAACCGAUCCUAGAUACAUUUCAAUAGUUUCAUAGCUAUACUGUAACGUUGAAUAAGUAAACCCUCAGUACCAAAGCAAGAGCAAGUUGCAACAGGAAGAUAGCAGCCACAAUGAAGAACCACCUUUCGCCAGCUGAUGCUGGUGUAGCUGGCUUCAUGUCUGCCACAUUUGUUGCUCUUAA